GACAAUGCGACUUCAGACGAGGACCAGAAAAAACGACCGUUGAGGAAGGUUAAGGUACCUAUUAAAAAAAACAGACAUGUGUUACCUGAAUGUGCUGACAAUACACUGGAUAAGGGAAAAGCACACCUGAAGGUGGCCAAGGUUGAGUCCAAAAGAUGCAAAUGUC